UUUAAAUAUUUUUAUAAUAAAUAAAUUUGAGUUUUAUUAUUUUUUAAGAAAAAAUAUUUUUUAUUAUAGUUUAUUAGUAUUGUAAAAGAAAUUUUUAUUUUAUUUUUAAGAAAAAUUUAUUUUUUGUACCUUGUGUAUCAGGGUUUAUUAAAUAUUAAAAUUUAUUUUUAUAUCUCGAAUUUAAAAGAGCUAAGAAUUUAUUUUUUUUAUUGUUGAAUAAAUAUUAAUUAUAAAUUUUUGGUAAUGAAAUGUUAUUCGUUUUUAAAUAUAUCUAGUUUUUUAAGAAAAAAAUUUAAUUUUAAAUAUUAGGUAAUAAAAUUUUAAUUUUUUAAUUUUUUAUUUUUAAUAUUAAGUAUUUUUAGGGAUAAGCUUAAAAAUAAAAGUUUAUUAGGUAAUAAUUAAUUUAUAAAAGUAUAGGAUUAGAAGUUUCUAUUAUUAAAAAAAUGUUAUAAUUUAUUUUUAUUUUUAUAUUAUUUAUUUAGUCUAUAAAUUUUUUAUUAAAAUAUUAAUUUUAAUUUUAAAUAUUAAGAAAUAAUGAUAAAAUUAGUAUAAUUUAAAAUAUAAAUUUAAUUUUUAUUUUAAGGUUAAAAUAAAGGAAUUCGGCAAAUAUUUUUUCACCUGUUUAUUAAAAACAUGGCCUAUUGAUUUUAAUUUUAGGUUUAGCCUGCCCCCUGAGUUUUUAAAUGGCCGCGGUAUUUUGACCGUGCUAAGGUAGCAUAAUCAUUAGUUUCUUAAUUAGAAGCUGGAAUGAAUGGUUGGAUGAAAAAAGUUCUGUCUCUAUUUAAUUUUAUUAAAAAUUUAUUUUUUAGUAAAAAAGCUAAAAUUAUUUUGAAAGACGAGAAGACCCUAUAGAGUUUUAUAUAUAAUAUUUUAAUAUUUAUUAGAAUAUAAAUUUUUAAUUUUAUAUUAUAUUUAAUUGGGGUGAUUGAAAAAUUAAGCUAACUUUUUCUUUUUUUUACAUUGAUUUAUGAAUUAUUGAUCCAUUUAUUAUGAUUAUAAGAUAAAAUUACCUUAGGGAUAACAGCGUAAUAUUUUCAGAGAGUUCUUAUCGAAGAAAAAGAUUGCGACCUCGAUGUUGGAUUAAAAUUUAUUUUUGGUGUAGAAGCUAAGAAUGUAGGUCUGUUCGACCUUUAAAAUUUUACAUGAUCUGAGUUUAAACCGGUGUGAGCCAGGUUGGUUUCUAUCUUUAAAUUAUUUUAAUAUUUUAGUACGAAAGGAUUAAAUAUUAAAAAAAUUUUUUCAUUAAAGAAUAAUAUU
rnacentral:rRNA from 1 species